rnacentral:tRNA from 1 species
GGGGAUUUAGCUCAGUGGUAGAGCGCUUGCCUAGCAAGUGCAAGGGCCCUGGUUCAGUCCCCA